AAAAACUGCUCUGAGUUAGGAUGUCCCUUGCUGGGACUGCAGCUCCCACUAGGAAUUCUAGGGGUUUCAAUCGUAAACCCACCCUGUUGAUGGUGAUGUUAUAGGUAGAGGAGCCCUAUUAGGAGGAGAGGCUUCUUGGACAGCAAAGGUGACCAACAAGCAAGUGCUGGAGCGCAUAACACCAGACACGUCACUGGACGGCAAAAUCACAAAACUGUGUCUCAUUUAUUUUGGUCAUGUCACACGGGGGAAUUCACCGGAGAAAGCAAUUAUGUUCGCAAGAGUGAGCGGUCAAAGGAAACCAAAGGCUGCCAAAGAACACGGUGGCUGAACACCAAGAAGGCUGACACCGGCCAGAGCGUAGAAGAACACAAAGAAGCUGUGCAAGAUCGGAAGACAUGUGGAGAGACCCGGCCUGUAGAAUCGCCAAGAGUCAGACACAACCAAAUGGAGAACAUCAUCCUCAUCCUCAUCCUCAUGGCGAGGGGUCUCCAGAUGGGGCUUAAAGCAAAGGGCUGCCUUGAGUGCAGCUCAGCUCCUGAAGGCCCAUUGAACGUGGCUCGUUUUCUCAGCAAUAACCUUGGAGUGUUGAGCCCUUGUGUUCCAAAAUACUUUGGUCCUUCCAGUCUGGUUUAGAGCCUUGGUGUUUUGUCUCUCAUCCAAAAACUAAUCAGGUUCCACCUUGCUUAGCAAUUUGAGAAAAGCAAUAAUGAACUUAAUGGUGCCAUCUGUGGUGAGAAGUAAGCCCUGUCUACUGUUACUGCAGGAGUUCCCAAACAAGGGCUUGUGAGCAAAUCUAAGACGGCUUGCAAUGAGUUGGUGGGGAGAACUGGGUGGGCAGAAAGCAAGAGUGUGGCCAAAUUCACUUCUCCUCUCUUUCUGCUAAGGGAAACAGUCAUUAAGUGAAUUUUGCCUCAUUUCUUGCCCUCAUUAAGUGAAUCCCUGCAGUUGAUAAAUUAGCAACCUGGUAGUUAAUUGUUUCCCCAUUGACUUUCCUUGAAGGUCACAAAAGGGGAUCAUGUGAUCUUGGGACACAGCAACGGUCAUAAAUAUGAAUUUUGAUCCCAGGCUGCAAAGGCUGUAACUGUGAAAACCAAUCAUAAGUCACAUUUUUUCAGUGCCAUUGUAACUUUGAACUGUCACUAAACGAACUGUUGUAACUCAAGGACUAGCUGUGCUUUAUUCCAACAAGAAUGUGGAAGGAGAAAGGAACUAUUUCAACUGAAACCCAUACAGGAAUUUUGCAAAACUAAGGAACGUCAUGGUUUCAAUUUAAAAGCACAAUUUGUGAGAAUAAAAGUUUUAUUUUAUAAAAUUGCAAGGUUGUCACCGUGUUAUUACUACCUGUAUUAAAAUGUAAGCAUUAAACGUGGUGUGUUUAUUUCUUGCCCAGCCCUGGGAGGCUGUAUCAGACUGAUCUAUAAUUUUAAGAGGAUUGUUUGAGAAUCCUUUGGCUACGGAGAUAUUAGAAAAGGAGGCUGCCCGCUAAGAAAUUUCCUCUGUUAUGGAAUUCUACCUCAACAUUCCUCCUUUAUUAAAGACCCGAGAGGCUGGCCGUGUACUUAAGGGAUGAAGCAAAGAGGCCUUUGUUUCAAACCAUUAACUGGGGGUGUACCAUCUACAAAAGUGAUUCACAUUCAGAACUGAAGCAAUUCUUCACCCAAUUUGUGGGCAGAGAACCUAUGCCGGGAUAGGCAACCUGGGCUCUUUUAUGACUAGUGGACUUCAACUCCCAGAAUUCCUGAGCCAGCCAUGCUGAGGGGAAAGGGAGAGAUUUCCAAGCUGAGCCAUGCUAGCUCAGGAAUUCUGGGAGUUGAAGUCCACCAGUCCUAAAAGAGCCAAGGUUGCCUACCCUUCAUUUAGGUGGUUAAUUUAUUAUAGUUUUUCCAGGAAAAGAAGAGAUUGUCCCGUAAUACCACAAUGGCAGGAUACCUCCUUAGUGGUGACCCUAGCAUUAUUCCUGAGAAAGCCAUCACCUGGAAGGAGCUUUAAAGGAGAUGUGUGAAGCCAAACCAUUGGAGAAAGGGUUGUACCUAGAGAGGAAAAUAUUUGUAGCUGAGGGUUGAAAUGAAGGUCCUUGGACCUCUCCGAGCUUGGUGAUUUUCUUACCUAGUUGGGAAAUGAAACAUCUGCAAGAAAACCACCAAACUCAGAGAGCACCAAGGACUCUUUAGAAAUGAUUCUGUAAUGAAGAUGGGCAAGAAGACAGGAUCUCCGCUUACACACUCCUUGGUCUACCCAAAUUCUCCUAGCUUUGAAAUACUUUUAGAAAAAUAAAUCCCCCCCAGAUCAAACGGAGAAGCGAUGGAAUAAUUGCAGUAGACCUGGUGCUAGUUUUCAUUCACAGGUCAAGAAGCGCCAAGGUGACAGGCAUCGGAGCAGCUAAGGAGCUGCUUAUUCUGAAAGAAUGAUCUCUUUUAUCAAAGCUGGGCAAAGUUCAGGGUUGUACACAAACAAAGAAAAUGGGCUGCUCCCUAGAAGGAUCGCUGCCCGUUGCUCUUUCAGGAAGUUGAGAACGUUGGGAACCCACACCUAUCCAAGGUGAGGCCUUCUUUCUCCCGGCGUUCCCAUAGGCCAAAGCUGUUCUCAGGGGCUGCAGCCAAAGGAGUCGGAGGAAAAACCUUCCCUCGCAUGGCUCGAAAGAAGACAACUUCUGACACAGAAUCUCAGGUGGCAGCUUUGUGGAAUGUGGUGAACGGGUGAAGCACUGGUUUUGGAUCUAGGAAGGCCGUUCCAGGCUGAACAAAGUCCUCCGUGGGAAAUGCAAGAUGCAGGCGAAUUCUUCCAAUCUGUCCGAUGCUGCUGAAAAGAAGCAAGGGCUGAUCAAGUCAAGACGGAAUCCGAGGACAGCAUCCCACAGGAAUGGAAAGGAAUGCCAGAAAAGGUGGGUCACACUUCUUUUAACUCUUGGCUCUUCUGCCAAAAGAGUUGGGGAGAGAGAGAAGGAAAAGAGGUUCAUCUUUGCUGUGGAAGGACAAUCCAAAUCAUGGAGAUGACAGCAAUUCAGUGUAUAAGAGCUGACCAACCACUUCACAACCCCAGCAACUGAUUUCUUUUAGAUGUUUGGCUUCCUCCUUUUGGAUGGUGAACUUCAUGUAGUCUGCUGCGGAGGACUCACCUUCCAUUGGCAUGGAAUACGGUCAGAUCUGAUCAUCAGAGGAGUGUCAGAAGCCCCUCAUUCAAAAAACUACCUACAUACAUUCAUUCACCUGACAAUUGGGCAAAAAGUAUUUGCGAGGGUUCCGACUCUUUUCCCAAAACAGUUCCCACUGAACCUAAAGCUCUGUGAAAAUCACUGGAAGGAAAUCAACACUCCCUCGGGGUUAUAGACAACGGACUGGCUGAAGACCCUCAGGCUGGAAUAUUCCACUGGCUACCAGGAUGAAGUGUGGGUCGGCCUUCUGCAGCCAUCUCAUCUUUCACCUACCUGCUGAGAGUUAUGGAUUGAAAUGGUGGAAUAAUGGAAAGAGCAACAGAAAAUGAAAGUUCCUAUGAUGGAGGGUUACAAACAGGAAAGCGGGGAGUUCCAAAACAUCAGCUGUAAGAUACUUUCUUAUUUGUUUGUAAAUUAUAGAGGUGAGGAGUAAGGUUGCUAAGUUUCCUAACAGCACCACAUUAUUUGGAGUGGUAGUACAAACAAAAAGGACAGGUUCCUAAACUAUCUCUGUAUGUAAAAAGGUGGGCAUUAAAAUGGAGAACUGGG